GACUAUGCAUCUUCGAUCUGAACCCUAUAGAGAAUACGUGUACACAUGCAUGCACCAUAUACCAAACCACGUGUGUUACAUACCCGGCUUGGGACCAUUAAUUAGAUUAUCUACUAACAACAAUAAUCUGGACAUAUUAAUACAUAUUCAAAUCACACAAAAGUGUAUCGAAGAAAGAGAACCGUCCAACCACAUUUCUAUGGUGCUCUUUAUCCUUCUUUCAACAAUAUAAAUUAGUAUAAUAUAGUGUUUAUGCAAUAGUUUAUUCAUCGGAUUUAUGAUGAGAUUAUUCGAGAAGGUGUGUAACAUCCCGGGCCCGGCCCAAAAGGGGACUCAAAUGCAGGAGGCCCAAGAAGAAGAAACCCUAGACAUAACCCCUCCCACUGCUUAUAAAAGGAGAAGUUCCCCUAGGGUUCAGCCACAAGAGAGACAGCAAGCGAAGCCCUGCCCGAGCAGAACCCCGCCGCCGCCUCCGCCUCAAGCCGCCGCCGCCCCACCACCGGCGAAGCCAGCCGCCAGCCGCCCGCGAAGCCCUAGCCGCCGCGACCGAGCCCCUAGCCGUCGCCUCCUUGAUUCAGUUUCGUGCAAGCAACUGAGAUCUGAACCCUAAAGGUAAACCUAAGAUCUCUAGUUCUAAGUCAUUGGAAAUGACAGAUCCUAAACCCAUCUCUCUCUUGUGUGAAUCCAAUUCUCUAACCAGAUCUCGAGAAGUGGCUGUUUCCCAAACCUAGAUCUAGACCUACUUCUGCAAAAAGCUAAGGUGAGGACUUGCUGUGAACUUGUCUCAUGUUGAGUAAUCAAUGGGACUUAGUCCUUUGUUAAUCAGAUCUAGAUCUUGUGUGUAUGUGUGAUAUGUUAUGUGAUUGAUCUUGUUUAGACGGUAGUACAUGUUGAAGUGAUAAGAACAUAGGCAUGUUAGGGUGGUCAAGAAAUGAUGAUAAGAUGAUGAGACGUGUUGUGAAUGAUAAGUGAAAGAUGUAAGAAUAAGUACGAAUAAGGGAUCAUAUAGAGAGUCUAAGGUUUGUAGGUGGGGUAAGUAGUCCACGCUAGGUAUCCAUAGGAGAUGUGGCGAAUCCACAUGAAUAUGGAAGCACCCAUAGGAGAUGUGGCGAAUCCACAUGAAUAUGGGGUAGAAGCCUAGUGGGGGGCUACCCACUGAGGAAAAGAGGAAAAGAGGAAAAGAGGAAAAGAGGAAAAGAGGAAAAGAUGAAAAGGAUAUGCAUUGUAGGGUCUUUAGUUCAUGUCGGGUAGUAUGGGAUUCUGUGUGAUAGAUCUUAUUAGCUCAUGACUUGUGAUUGUUUGCUCUUCCUGAGCUGAGUUCGUGGGUUCCUAGAACCUGCCCUCACUGAGUAUUGUGUACUCACCCCUCUUUUUACAGGUAUGGCCGAGAGGGAGCGGGAGUAGAUGUCCGUAUGGUGCAAGUGUUUUCUCGAGUCUUUCAUUUGGAUUCUUUUCUUUCCGCCAUUUCUUCCUAAGUUUUAUUCGACAUUCAGUUUUUAGUUGAGUUCGGUUUUAUGUAAGACAGUUUGGGUUUUAAUAAGAGCUUUUUGAACGAAAAGGUUUGAGUUAAAGUAUUUGAUAGGGUUCAUCGGGCCAAGGCCUUUACAAUUGGUAUCAGAGCGGGUUAAACCCACCCGGUGCUGUCCCGGGUGGGUAGGGAAGGGUCGGGUAGAAGUAGGAAAACCCGGGUUUCAAAGGAACUUCUUCCGAACGUCUUUCUAAGUAUUUCAAAAAGGGUUUCAAAAAAAAAAAAAAAAAAAAAAAUGCACCACUCGGACGGAACUCCUAGCUCACUCGGUGGACAAUAGAAUUUGAGUAGAACCGUGGCUAAUACUCCUUCACUUGUCAACAGGAUGCCUCCCAAGAAUGCCAGAGUUGCAAGGCCAGCUGCGGCCAACCUGAGAGCGACGCGACGGGUCACCAGGUCCGCGUCUCAAGCCUCCAGCGAGGCAGAAAGCCGAAGAGGGGGCGCACCUGAGAAUGAGAACCCAGUGGAAAUGCCGAACGUGGCGAAUGCAGCGCUCCUGGCAGAACUGCAAAGAUACCGCGACGCCUAUGGGGGUCAUCUGCCCAAUGGUGAAGCCGCCGCAGAUGCGGGGGACAACCCCAUACCACCCGGGGCGGCCCAGAAUCCGCCACCGCCGCCUCCACCCCCGGCAGCGCCUGCGGUGGUGCACGCCCCCGGACCCAACUACUGGGACAUGCUGAGACACAUGAAGAGUAUGCAGACGGAGUUUUUCAAUGGAAAGGCCGACGCGAUUGUCGCGGAUAAUUGGAGACGUCAACUCGAGAGGAACUUCGCUUCUGCAAGGUGCCCACCGGAGUUCCGUAGGGACCUGGCUGCUCACUACCUUAAAGACGACGCACUAGUGUGGUGGGACGAAGUGGUCGAAAGGUCACACGGGAUACGACUGACCUGGGAUGAUUUCCUGGAGGCAUUCAAUGGGAAGUACUUUCCCUUAGAAGCCAUGGACGCGAUGGAAAGCAAGUUUCAGGACAUCCGUCAAGGGUCGAGGAAUGUACGAGACUACGGGGACGAGUUCAACCGACUUCGGAGAUUUGCGGGUCACUACCUGAGUGAUCACGACUUAAUCCGCCGUUUCCUCAAAGGUAUGAGAGUGGAACUGAGGAAUAGCUGCAACGUGAGGGACUAUCGUGAUGUCCAUGAGCUGAUUGAGAAAGCCGCAGAACAAGAAUCAGGGCUCGAGGAAGAGCGAAAACAGAACCAGAACUCCCAGAACCGGGGUACCAAACGGCCCCGGGAUGCACAACCCGCGGCUGAGCCUGCUCCGUUAAGGCCCGCAUGUGAGAGGUGUGGACGAUUCCAUGCAGGGGAGUGCAGGAUGGGAGCAUGCUUCACCUGCGGCGAGCGCGGACAUAUAGCGAGGGAUUGCCCGAAGGAGAGACAAGGCCAACGCAGGCGCUGUUACCGCUGCGGCCAGGAGGGACAUCUGGCGUGGGAGUGCCCAACACUCCAAAGAGGAAACGCGGAAGGGGCACAACCCCAACAGCAGAGGGGGCAAGCCGCAGGGGCAAGAGCGUACGCCGUCGAGGGUCGCGAAGGAGCCGAACCGAUCGCGGGUACGUUUGAUUUAACAAUACGAUUAUGUUAUAUGAAAAGAACUGUAGUAGUCGUGUAGCUUAGCGUUAGUGUUGUGUAGGGUCUGUCGCGGUCGGAGGAGUGACAGCGUUCACUCUCUUCGACACCGGGGCAACUCACAGUUUUGUAAGCCCUAGACUUACGCGUGAGUGGGACUUUAAGGGGAACUUCAACACCAUGGUGACGGGAGUCGAGACGGCAGGAACAGAGAAAAUGGCCACGAGGGGUAGAUAUGAAGAAGUACCGGUGAUCCUCGCAGGUGUGAACUUACCCGGAGACCUGCUGGAGUUAGAACUGGGGCGUUACGAGGUGAUCUUGGGAAUGGAUUGGCUAGCACAACACAGAGCCGUGGUUGAGUGUGCCAAGGCAUGCGUUAGGAUCCCGCUUGAUGGGAGGCAAAUCGUGUACAGAGGAAUGAGAACUAGGACCGGAAUAACUGUGGUGUCGAUGGCCCAUGCUGAAGAAGCAAUCCGGAAAGGAGGAGAAGCCUUUUUAGCCACUAUUGAAAUGGUGGGUGAGACCGAAGCGCCAGAUCUGGAGAGUAUCCCCGUAGCAGCAGAGUAUGCCGAUGUGUUCAAACCACUACGCGGACCCCCACCUCAACGAAAUAACGCUUUUACGAUUGAGCUAGAACCCGGAACCGCACCGGUUUCCAGGGCCCCCUACCGUUUGGCGCCUGCAGAGAUGGCUGAACUGAAGAAACAACUGGAAGAACUAGUGGAAAAGGGAUUCAUACGUCCGAGUAGCUCGCCUUGGGGGGCGCCGGUACUCUUUGUAAAGAAGAAGGAUGGGAGCCUCCGACUGUGCAUCGACUACCGGGGAUUGAACAAAGUUACCGUUAAAAAUAAGUAUCCCCUACCCCGUAUAGACGAACUUAUGGACCAGCUGGAGGGAGCCACUUGGUUCUCGAAGAUAGACCUCGCUUCAGGUUAUCACCAAAUCCCUAUUCACGAAGAAGAUGUUAGGAAGACAGCUUUUCGUACCCGGUACGGACACUACGAAUUCGUAGUAAUGCCCUUUGGACUGACGAACGCGCCGGCAGCUUUCAUGGGGCUAAUGAAUGAUAUUUUCAGAGAUUAUCUGGACCAGUGUGUGAUUGUCUUCAUCGACGAUAUCUUAAUUUACUCCAAGAGCCGGGAGGACCACAGACGCCAUUUGGGUAUCGUACUGGACAAGUUAAGGGAGCAUGGGUUAUAUGCUAAGCUUAGCAAGUGUAGUUUCUGGCAACGUAAGAUUGGGUUUCUGGGUCAUGUGAUCUCCGAAGCAGGGAUAGCGGUGGACCCCGAGAAGAUCACCGCGAUCACGAAAUGGCCAACACCAAGUAACGCAACAGAAGUACGAAGUUUCCUCGGGUUGGCGGGAUACUACCGCAAGUAUGUUUUAGGGUUCGCCACAAUAGCCAGGCCACUCACCCGCCUUACAGGCAAGGAGGUUAGGUUCGAAUGGACAGAGGCGUGCGAGGAGGGAUUCAAACAACUAAAGGACAUGCUGACUAGAGCCCCAGUACUGGUCCUACCUAGACCAGGGGUGCCAUUUGUGGUCUACACCGACGCCUCCGGGGUCGGAGUGGGGUGCGUACUCAUGCAGGAAGGAAAAGUGAUCGCCUACGCGUCCAGACAACUGCGGAAACAUGAGUCUAAUUACCCGACACAUGAUUUAGAGCUAGCGGCAGUGGUAUUUGCAUUAAAAAUCUGGAGAUCGUACUUAUAUGGGGAGAAGGUACAAAUUUUCACGGACCACCAGAGUUUGAAAUAUGUGUUCACUCAAGGAGAUCUGAACCUACGGCAGCGCAGGUGGAUGGAACUACUAGCAGAUUACGAUCUGGUCAUCGAUUAUCACCCCGGGAAGGCAAACCUGGUGGCAGAUGCCUUAAGCCGAAGGAAAUCAGACAUCUCCGGAGCAAGGGAAACUCAGGAACUUGCCACAGCCUUAUCAAAACUGCACCUCUGUGCGACGACCGUGAACGAAGAGGGCGCCGGGUUAGAGGUUGUGGAACAAGCCGACCUGCUGAGUCGAAUCAGUAAGGCCCAGGAAACGGACUCCACACUCCAAAAGAUGGUCGACAAGGAGGUGAGCGGGUACCGUACGGCUGGGAAUGGUACCAUCCUGUUUAAAGGCCGAGUGUGCGUACCACAGGGAGGGAACUUGAGGGACGAACUACUGGCACAAGCUCAUCAAUCACGAUUCGCAAUUCACCCGGGACGGACAAAAAUGUACCAAGAUCUGAAGCGGUACUACCACUGGGAAGGAAUGAAGAGAGAUGUCGCUUUGUGGAUAGCCCGGUGUCAGACCUGUCAGCUGGUUAAGGCGGAGCGCGGAGUUCCACGCGGACUGUUGCAGGAGUUACCCUUACCACAAUGGAAAUGGGAUAUGGUGACAAUGGAUUUCGUCACAGGGCUACCACGGACCACGAAAAACAAGGACGCUAUAUGGGUGAUAGUAGACCGCCUGACAAAGACGGCUCAUUUUCUACCUAUACGAACCACCGAUAAGACGGAGGACUUAGCACGCGAGUAUCUGAACGUCAUAGUGAAGUUACAUGGGGUACCGGUGAGCAUAGUAUCUGACCGGGAUCCGAAGUUUACUUCAACUUUCUGGCAGGCAUUUCAAAGAGCAUUGGGAACCAAGGUUCGCCUUAGCACCGCGUAUCAUCCACAGACGGAUGGACAGUCCGAGAGGACCAUCCAGACACUCGAGGAUAUGUUGAGGGCGAGUGUUUUGGAAUGGGGGGGUAAAUGGAGCGAAUAUCUACCGUUGGUGGAGUUCUCUUAUAACAACAGCUACCAUGCGAGCAUCGAAAUGUCCCCGUACGAAGCAUUGUAUGGGCGACCCUGUAGGACCCCCUUAUGUUGGACCGAAGUGGGGGAGAAACGAGAUAUGACCCCCGAACUAGUUGGAGAAACGAUCAAGCAAGUAGAACUCCUCAGAGACAGAUUGAAAACGGCUCACGACCGCCAGAAGAGUUACGCCGACAAACACCGGAAGAGACUAGAGUUUGCGGUAGGGGAUGAGGUGUACUUGAAAAUGAGAACUUUUCGAGGGAAUGACCCAAACCGAAAGUUGAAAAAGCUGAGACCCAGGUACAUGGGUCCAUACGUGAUAAAGGAGAGGAUCGGUGCAGUCGCGUAUCGUCUGGUACUACCGCCGGAACUAUCAGAUUUCCAUGACGUGUUUCACAUCUCCGUGCUACGGAAGGUCAUAAGAGAGCCUGAGCUGAUCUUGCCGCACCCGCCUAAGGAUGCGCAACGUAACUUGACCUUGGUUAGCAAACCCAUAAAGAUUAUGGAGGAAAAGGAAGUAAAUAACCAGGGACGAAAGGAAAAGAUGGUUCUCGUACGAUGGGAGAGGGAUGGAAUCCACGAGGAUGUGUGGGAACAUGAGUCGCACUUGAGGGCUAACUACCCCGAGAUCCUUGGAAACGCGGAGCGGGACCAGGAGGAGGUCCAGAAUUCAGGGACGAAUCCUUUUCUAGUGGGGGAGAAUUGUAACAUCCCGGGCCCGGCCCAAAAGGGGACUCAAAUGCAGGAGGCCCAAGAAGAAGAAACCCUAGACAUAACCCCUCCCACUGCUUAUAAAAGGAGAAGUUCCCCUAGGGUUCAGCCACAAGAGAGACAGCAAGCGAAGCCCUGCCCGAGCAGAACCCCGCCGCCGCCUCCGCCUCAAGCCGCCGCCGCCCCACCACCGGCGAAGCCAGCCGCCAGCCGCCCGCGAAGCCCUAGCCGCCGCGACCGAGCCCCUAGCCGUCGCCUCCUUGAUUCAGUUUCGUGCAAGCAACUGAGAUCUGAACCCUAAAGGUAAACCUAAGAUCUCUAGUUCUAAGUCAUUGGAAAUGACAGAUCCUAAACCCAUCUCUCUCUUGUGUGAAUCCAAUUCUCUAACCAGAUCUCGAGAAGUGGCUGUUUCCCAAACCUAGAUCUAGACCUACUUCUGCAAAAAGCUAAGGUGAGGACUUGCUGUGAACUUGUCUCAUGUUGAGUAAUCAAUGGGACUUAGUCCUUUGUUAAUCAGAUCUAGAUCUUGUGUGUAUGUGUGAUAUGUUAUGUGAUUGAUCUUGUUUAGACGGUAGUACAUGUUGAAGUGAUAAGAACAUAGGCAUGUUAGGGUGGUCAAGAAAUGAUGAUAAGAUGAUGAGACGUGUUGUGAAUGAUAAGUGAAAGAUGUAAGAAUAAGUACGAAUAAGGGAUCAUAUAGAGAGUCUAAGGUUUGUAGGUGGGGUAAGUAGUCCACGCUAGGUAUCCAUAGGAGAUGUGGCGAAUCCACAUGAAUAUGGAAGCACCCAUAGGAGAUGUGGCGAAUCCACAUGAAUAUGGGGUAGAAGCCUAGUGGGGGGCUACCCACUGAGGAAAAGAGGAAAAGAGGAAAAGAGGAAAAGAGGAAAAGAGGAAAAGAUGAAAAGGAUAUGCAUUGUAGGGUCUUUAGUUCAUGUCGGGUAGUAUGGGAUUCUGUGUGAUAGAUCUUAUUAGCUCAUGACUUGUGAUUGUUUGCUCUUCCUGAGCUGAGUUCGUGGGUUCCUAGAACCUGCCCUCACUGAGUAUUGUGUACUCACCCCUCUUUUUACAGGUAUGGCCGAGAGGGAGCGGGAGUAGAUGUCCGUAUGGUGCAAGUGUUUUCUCGAGUCUUUCAUUUGGAUUCUUUUCUUUCCGCCAUUUCUUCCUAAGUUUUAUUCGACAUUCAGUUUUUAGUUGAGUUCGGUUUUAUGUAAGACAGUUUGGGUUUUAAUAAGAACUUUUUGAACGAAAAGGUUUGAGUUAAAGUAUUUGAUAGGGUUCAUCGGGCCAAGGCCUUUACAAGGUGUCUCUUUAAAGUAAAUCGACCCUCGUGACGAGCUCGUUGCCCUCUUUUUUUUUUUUUUUUUCCCAAAUUGAUAUAUAUUUCCUCUAGUUUAUGUCUUUUGGUUUGUUAAAUUUAACAAUUUAAAAGUAAUCGAAUAAAGUAAUGGUUUAUCUUCGACAGUAUGAAAGAGGUCCAUUCAUGUAUUAAACAAAUGGUCUAGAUACAAUUUGUUCAACUGAAACUAGUGUAUGAGUCACGAGUUAAUUCUGAUGGCUUCACCAAAUCUAAGGCUAAAGGUAACGAAACAGAUAAACACUCUUGUGAUAUCAACCCAACCCUGUCUCUAGCUAUUAUUGUGGGGAUUACUUUUUGUUGUGCUAGCGUUUUACAAGUUACAUUUUCGAUCUAAUAGAAAAUGGUUGUUCCGAACAUGUUUGAAGUUUUUUUUAGUAAUCGUCAAAAAAUAUUGUUGUGUAGA
rnacentral:lncRNA from 1 species